UACGUAGGGGGCAAGCGUUGUCCGGAUUUAUUGGGCGUAAAGAGCGUGUAGGCGGCCAGACAGGUCCGUUGUGAAACUCGAGGCUCAACCUCGAGAUGUCGAUGGAAACCGUCUGGCUAGAGUCCGGAAGAGGAGUGUGGAAUUCCUGGUGUAGCGGUGAAAUGCGCAGAUAUCAGGAAGAACACCUAUGGCGAAGGCAGCACUCUGGGACGGUACUGACGCUGAGGCACGAAAGCGUGGGGAGCAAACAGG
rnacentral:rRNA from 1 species